GAUGAACGCUAGCUACAGGCUUAACACAUGCAAGUCGAGGGGAAACGAUAGAGAAAGCUUGCUUUUUCUAGGCGUCGACCGGCGCACGGGUGAGUAACGCGUAUCCAACCUGCCCAUCACUUGGGGAUAACCUUGCGAAAGUAAGACUAAUACCCAAUGACGUCUCUAGAAGACAUCUGAAAGAGAUUAAAGAUUUAUCGGUGAUGGAUGGGGAUGCGUCUGAUUAGCUUGUUGGCGGGGUAACGGCCCACCAAGGCGACGAUCAGUAGGGGUUCUGAGAGGAAGGUCCCCCCACAUUGGAACUGAGACACGGUCCAAAACUCCUACGGGAGGCAGCAGUGAGGAAUAUUGGUCAAUGGGCGAGAGCCUGAACCAGCCAAGUAGCGUGAAGGAUGACUGCCCUAUGGGUUGUAAACUUCUUUUAUAAAGGAUAAAGUCGGGUAUGGAUACCCGUUUGCAUGUACUUUAUGAAUAAGGAUCGGCUAACUCCGUG
rnacentral:rRNA from 1 species